rnacentral:rRNA from 1 species
AUUGAACGCUGGCGGCAGGCCUAACACAUGCAAGUCGAGCGAGCGGCGGACGGGUGAGUAAUGCCUAGGAAUCUGCCUGGUAGUGGGGGAUAACGUCCGGAAACGGUAGCUAAUACCGCAUACUAUCAGAUGAGCCCAGAUGGGAUUAGCUUGUUGGUGGGGUAACGGCUCACCAAGGCGACGAUCCAUAGCUGGUCUGAGAGGAUGACCAGCCACACUGGAACUGAGACACGGUCCAGACUCCUACGGGAGGCAGCAGUGGGGAAUAUUGCACAAUGGGCGCAAGCCUGAUCCAGCCAUGCCGCGUGUAUGAAGAAGGCCUUCGGGUUGUAAAGUACUUUAAGCGGGGAGGCGUUACCCGCAGAAGAAGCACCGGCUAACUCCGUGCCAGCAGCCGCGGUAAUUC